CGAGGCCACUCUGGAAAGCAGGCGCACCCGCGCCUCACCCAAGGUGAAAGCCGUGCCGAGCGCGCGGUGAAACUCUCAGGUGCCCAUGACAGAGGGGGAGUU
rnacentral:ncRNA from 2 species